rnacentral:rRNA from 1 species
GACGAACGCUGGCGGCGUGCUUAACACAUGCAAGUCGAACGAUGAAGAAGAGAAACGCGAACUUCGGUUCAAAUUUCACUUCGGAUUAGUGGCAGACGGGUGAGUAACGCGUGAGCAACCUGCCUCUUACAAAGGGAUAGCCUCGGGAAACCGUGAUUAAUACCAUAUGACACAUUCAUAAGGCAUCUUAAGAAUGUUAAAGCUACGGCGGUAAGAGAUGGGCUCGCGUCCCAUUAGCUAGUUGGUGAGGUAACGGCCCACCAAGGCGACGAUGGGUAACCGGCCUGAGAGGGUGAACGGUCACAUUGGAACUGAGACACGGUCCAAACUCCUACGGGAGGCAGCAGUGGGGAAUAUUGCACAAUGGAGGGAACUCUGAUGCAGCGACGCCGCGUGAGCGAUGAAGGAAUUCGUUUCGUAAAGCUCUGUUCUAUGGGAAGAAAAGGACUGUACCAUAGGAGAAAGCCCCGGCUAAAUACGUG